UACGAAAGGUGCAAGCGUUGUUCGGAAUAACUGGGCGUAAAGCGCUCGUAGGCGGGAGUUCAGGUCGAUUGUGAAAUCCCAGGGCUCAACCUUGGAACUGCAGUCGAAACCGGACUUCUUGAAUACUCGGAGAGGGUGGGGAAUUCCUAGUGGAGAAGUGAAAUUCGUAGAGAUUAGGAGGAACACCAGAGGCGAAGGCGCCUACCUGGCGAUGAUUGAACG
rnacentral:rRNA from 1 species